UACGGAAGGCAGCAGUGGGGGAAUAUUGCACAAUGGGCGCAAGCCUGAUGCAGCCAUGCCGCGUGUAUGAAGAAGGCCUUCGGGUUGUAAAGUACUUUCAGUCGUGAGGAAGGUGUUAAGGUUAAUAACCUUAGCAAUUGACGUUAGCGACAGAAGAAGCACCGGCUAACUCCGUGCCAGCAGCCGCGGUAAUACGGAGGGUGCGAGCGUUAAUCGGAAUUACUGGGCGUAAAGGGCACGCAGGCGGUUAAUUAAGUUGGAUGUGAAAUCCCCGGGCUUAACCUGGGAAUGGCAUUCAAGACUGGUUAGCUAGAGUCUUGUAGAGGGGGUAGAAUUCCGAUGUGUAGCGGUGAAAUGCGUAGAGAUGUGGAGGAAUACCGGUGGCGAAGGCGGCCCCUGGACAAAGGCUGACGCUCAUGUGCGAAAGCGUGGGGAGCAAACGAGGGAUUAGAUA
rnacentral:rRNA from 1 species